rnacentral:rRNA from 1 species
CAGUUUCUAUCCUCUUUUUGAAAUGAGCUAAUUUUGUACGAAAGGACUUUUUCGCUAAAGCAAUGCUUUGUCACAAAUCUGUGGUUGCAUAAAUAAUAGGGUGUAAUAGGUUGAUUAGCCUAUAGGAAGGGUUA